GACGAACGCUGGCGGCGUGCUUAACACAUGCAAGUCGAGCGGUAAGGCCCUUUCGGGGGUACACGAGCGGCGAACGGGUGAGUAACACGUGGGUGACCUGCCCUCAGCUCUGGGAUAAGCCUGGGAAACCGGGUCUAAUACUGGAUAUGACUCCAUGACGCAUGUUGUGGGGUGGAAAGCCUUGUGCGGCUGAGGAUGGGCCCGCGGCCUAUCAGCUUGUUGGUGGGGUGAUGGCCUACCAAGGCGACGACGGGUAGCCGGCCUGAGAGGGCGACCGGCACACUGGGACUGAGACACGGCCCAGACUCCUACGGGAGGCAG
rnacentral:rRNA from 1 species